ACAUGCCAAUGUACAAGUUAUAUCAUAAUUUAUGCAUUAUUUCUAACAAAUCUCAUAAAACCUUGAAGGUUUGGAGGUGGUUGUGUUGGCGGUGGUGAGGGAUUGGAAGAUACUAAACAUGACUUAACUCAGUUAUCCCCUGUGGAGAACGCUUCUUCUUGUUCCUUGGGGUUAAUUAUAUUGACAGUUGCACCCACAUCAUC
rnacentral:lncRNA from 1 species